GAUGCUGAACUAUUUUUGCGAUGUGUUCCUAAUAUGUAAUAAGAAUGUAUUGGGAACAUUUUGCAUUUGUAGUUUUGUAUCAAUA
ensembl:miRNA MIR450A2 microRNA 450a-2